CUCUCUCUGUGUGUCCCUCCCCCGCCUGUGCGCUCUGUCAUUCUCUCAAAAAUAAAUAAACAUUAAAAAACUUUUAAUGGGGGUGGGGGAUGCUUAGUGAUGCCUCUCUUAGGAGCAAUGACUAACUGCUAGAAUGAACAAGAAAGGAGAGACACGUUCCAGUUCUCCUCAAACUCCUAGUUCUGCGUCUUUACCAAUACAAUGUUGGUAAAGAUUUGUUAUCACAAGAUUGUAACUUUUUUUCCUCCAGUUCAGAAUCCUUUCUUUCAGGUUUUGUGCUCCUGGAAGACAGGGUCUAAGAUGUGUUCGUGGGGAUGGUGUGAAGAUUAACCCGAAUGAUAUCUGACAUGCAGGGGUGAAGCAGUAACUUCCAAACUAUUACAAACUGCCACUCCCCAGGGAAGGUCCCACACAACCCGGAGGUGUUCCGGAGCCCCUCUUUUAACAGAGCUUAAAAAACUGCAGCAUAAUCCUAAAUCUGCAAAGACUGUUCACUAAGUCCUGUUUGCUAAGAGUUAUUAUCCCUAAUGAAUCAUCAGAAACUGGCUCAUGAUACCAGGACCACUUGUCUUUCCUCUGGAUAAGAUGGUCUCGGGUUGGGCCCUCAGAUACCUUAAUCUUGGAAAUGUACAAUAAUCUUCCUGUAUAUAAAGACUUGGAUCCUGGGUUCACUUUCAGGGCAAACUGAUCCUGGAGGGAAAAAACGGCCUUUAACUUCACAAAUAAUAAGACAGAGUUCUUACGAGAAACGUCUGCAUCCAUUUGGUAAAAGCGGUAAAUUAAUUUCUGAAUCACAUGGUGUUUUGGAGGAGAAAAGCUGAGGCACGAUCAGUUUCGCUACGGACAGGAGGCUGAGAACGGAAUGCCUCCAGAAGCUGACCUCUGCCUUCCAGAUCAACGGUGAGCCCCUGCUUCACGUGUUCCUGGAUCAGCAGAAGCGUGUGCUCAAAAAUCUCCCCAGCUCUGGCUGUCUCCACAGUAAACGGGUCAUGCGGAUAACGAAACUGAGCCAGCAGAUCAGCAGGGGUGCGAGGCUUUCUGCAAGUGACAAAAGACAGCACUGUUCACAAGGCAAGCCUGCAGAAUCCAUGAAUCUCACGUGUACUGUGCAUUGAAGAAUACAUUUCCCGAACAAUCAAGAAGAAGGAAAGCUUCACGAUAAGCUUCACAGGGGAUCUGAGAGUUCUUUUCCUAUUUCAUUAGUGAGUCCCAAGUGGCAGUGGCAGUGCUGAACUCAAAAGAUACAUUUUUAAUGAAUCAAUGCUUUAAAGAGCAGUUUUGUAUAAAAGGCAACACCUAUGGUGAAAAAUAAACUUGUGGGGUCCACACAUAGGUCCUAGUGAACCCUCUGAAAUAGUGUGCAGUGCACCCAGUUUCUGGGUCGUGGCACUGUCUUCUCUUUCCUCAUAUGUAACUGCCUGGAAAUUCCCAUCCACCUUUAAAAUCCUGCUCAGGCAUCACUCUCCCCACAAAGUCUCCCUAGUAAUCCCAACGAACUACCACCUUCUCAAUUACUUCUGUAUCGUCACAUACAACUCUUACGUAUGCAACGAGAUGUACUUAAAUUGCUGACAUAUUGUGUCCUCCACCACAGAAAGACUGUGUUAGGGAUGAGAUAAUGCCUUAUUCAUCUUUAUAUUCCAAGUACCAAGCCUACUGACGAGCACACAGUAGUGGUUUGUACACAUUGAAGAACUGAAGUAUGUUGAAAGAAUAUUAGCCACUGAGAAUGCGAGACUGUUUGAGAGAUUUUGGUCAGCUAAGGCACAUCUGGUACUCUGUGUCUGAAAUCAUAAUUAACUUUAGAUCACAGAACAAUAGUGAUCAUAUUAAUAGCUCACUUUAAUUAAGCCUUUCUAUGUGACAGACACUAUUGAAACAAUUUAUCUGUACUAACUUACUCAAUCUUCCUAACAAGUAUGUCCAUGAAGCAGAUCUCAUCGUUAGCCCCAUUUUCCAGGCAAGAAGGUUGAGGUACUAAGACGCUCAGUCACUUGCCCAAGGUUGCCCAGAUAGAAAGCGAUAAAGUGAGGAAUCACAAUAGACUAUAAGUAGGGUGGAUGGCUCUAGAACACAAGUCCAUGAUCAGGACGCCAUGCUGUUUCUAAGUAUGCAGGGAAGAGAGCUGUACUGGAUUAUGGCAUUAUAACAUAUUCCUUCUUGACCAACAACUACAAAGACCGGGUAUAGGCUUUGACUUUGAAGACAACAGUUCUGUUUUCUUUAAUACGUUCGGGGGAUGCAAAGCGCCCCAUGUACUUCCAUUAGGACUGACGGGGACUUUGUAGAACUGGAAGGCUUCACCAUUCUAAAGAUACUGGUGACUCAAAUGAAAACAAACCAAAAUAUUACAUUAUCCGAAACAAAACUUCCACCUGUAAGCUGUCGGUUCACGACCAGAUGUGUUCAACCUGACCAUCAGUGUCAACUCCGGAACUGGCAGGAGCACUGGGUCUGAUAGUGGUGGGUGGUUGAGGACCUAACAGAGCCCACUGCCCGAGCCCUAUUGUGGGGCCACACAGAGCAGAUCUGUGAUGUAAAUUUCUGCCAUUUGGAUCCUAUGUGGAAUAAGUUUCAUUCUCUUUGAGGCUGAGCUGGCAACGGUGGCUAGCCCAGAGGGUGAUAACACAAAACUGAAGAAAACACCUACUUUGGCACUUUAUGCACUAUGCCUGCUGUGAUUUAUGGAGAUUAUAAAAACCAAGUAGAACUGAAGUGAAAACAAUUUUGCAAUCAAAAUAAAAUAAAUUCUUACUGUGAAAACAAA